rnacentral:tRNA from 1 species
GUCUAAAUAGUUUAAAUAGAAAAUGUGAGUUUGUGGAACUCGAGAUAUGAACACCAUUUUGGACA